rnacentral:lncRNA from 1 species
AUUAGCAGGAACAGAGGAACAAUGGAUGACCAAGGAAAUACUAAAAGGGUUGGGCCACUGAGAAUGUCAUCAGCAGCAUUUAUGCCAGAACAUCGCACAACAACACAAGACAGUGCCAGCAGCUUUUGUUAGGGCAAGAGGCAAGGAAAUUAGCAUAGAUAACAGGGCUCAGAACAUCGGGCACAGUUGCCCUCUGCGUAAAUGUCAGUCUUCUUGACAUGGGCCACUGGCAGCCUGAUGCGGACCUUGGCAGGGACAGGAAACUGGAUCCGUAGACAGCAG